CGCCCAGCAGCGCCUGGCAGAGCAGCAGCGCCAGGAGCGAGCGGGUCACGGCAACCAUGAUCAACCUGCGCGGAGGAGGAGGAGGCGAUGGGAGCCAGUCAGCGCGGACACCGCGCCGGGGGAGGGAGGUGCGCUAGCACCUCCGCCGUGGCCCACGGAGUCAUCCUGCGGAGAAGGCUUUCAGCGGAUCUGCGACCGCCGGAGCUAUACCUGUGUGCAGCAGCAGGGGUUGUGUCUGCAGGAGGGUGUUCUGCUCUCGGGGUGUUUUUCCCGCAUCACUUGGUGUUACUCCAAACUUCGCUGCUGCUCCUCUACAGCUGCCGAGCAGAAAAUAGAAGUUCCCUGAAGUGCAGUCCGCCUCGGAAACAUACUUUUAGCAGCUGGUUGAGGAGGCAGAAGGCAAGUCCCAGCCAGGGAAAAAGCUUCUCCCUUUUAAAAGCAGCGAUCGUGAAGUUUCUUCUUCUUCCUCCUCCUCGCGUGUGUGUGCCUGUCCGUGAAUGGGUCCCUACGUGUCUACGGAGUUAAAAGGCUCCUUUUCAAAAAUGUCCUUUGCAUCACGCUCAUCAGACAGAUGGACAUUUACCGACACUCCCGCAGCAACAUCAAGAUGAAGCUUGACUUGUCUCUGCUCCCUUAAAAAAGAAAGGAAAAAGGAGGGAGGAGGGUAAAUAAAACAAAAAAAAAAAAAAAAAAAAAAAAAAAGGGGGUGGGGAGCCGCCCGCCGUCCCGCGUGGAGCGGCCGCGCUAGGGCACCGCGCCGGGCUCCCCGCCGGCCCCGCACCGCACCAUGGCCGGGGGUGGCCGCCCGCCGCUGCUGCCGGGGCUUUUUGUUGCGCGGCGAUGUCACGACCCCGGAGGCUCGGGGGCCCGCGCCAAUCACAGCCGCCCUGUGGGAGCGGGCUGCGGCCCCGCACGGCUUUUAAAGGAGACGCCGCCUCCCUCCCUCGCUCCUUCCCUCCCUCCUCCCUCGCGCGCUCCCUCCCUCGCCGCGGCUGCCGCCCGCGCCCAGGUCGCAGUGUCGCCGCGGCGAGGGAUGGGGCGGGCGGCUGUCCCGUUAAACUGUUGUACCGGCGGCUGAUCCGAUGCGGGAAGACCCCCGGCCCGCCCGGUCCCGAGUCCCGCUCCGGGCGGCAGCGGCGGAGCGGGACCGGGCCGGGUCGAACAAUGACCCAUUGUACAGCCCGAGCGCUCCGCCGCCGCAAAUCGGAUUAACGCCGUGGCCCGGACUGCCGGGGUGGUAAAGUGCGAAGAGCGUGGAGGUCGCUGCACGAGCCUGGGGCAAGGGCUGGAAAUAAGGGGGUUUCCUCGCUCUCCUCUCCGAAAGAGAAGUACCCAAACUCGGGAGACGUCUCCUCCCGCAGCGCUGCCCCGGCGCAUCCGAUGCGGCUUCAGCCCCGUGCGGGCGGCGGAGGGGUUGGGCUGGGUGGGUUUUUUUAAGAUGUGGCUGCCCUCCAGUGGUGGAACGGCGGCGGAUCGCCCGGCCCGGAACGGCGGCCCCGGCGCGAACAGCCCGUCCGCGGCCCCGCACCUGCCCCGGGGCUGAGCCGCGCUCCCCGCGGGAUCGGGGCCCACCCAUGCCCACGCCAGUGCUCCCCGGGCUGCAGCCUCAACUGCUCGUGGCAUAGACCAUGGAACAGGACAGCGGUGACACGGGUGGAGAAAGCGGGUCCAUGCCCAGAAUGAUUGUGCUCCCAAUCCCAGCUGCAUCCCUCGAUCCCUUCCUGACGCUGGCAAAUCUCCUGAUACAACGAGUAACUCGCGAGCAGGACUGCGUCUUUUGCCCCAUCUCUUGUUUGUCUGCUGGGCUCUGCGGUAGGGCCUGGCCCUUGCAUAGGUAUGCGAUACCUAGCAAUUUAGGGUCCUCAUCAAAGCCAAAGCCAUCAGCACACCAUCAUUAGCCGGGGUCCCUUCCUGGCAAGGCAAGUGCUCUGUGCUCCACCUCCUCUUCCCAAUAUCUCUCAGGGGCUUCAUUUGCAAAAGACACAGCCAGCCUGUGACACCUUGAAUUACUGCGGAGGAGGACUUAAAAGCAAUAACAACUGAGACAGCUCCAUUACCAGCUCCUCCUUUGGGAGCGGCCUUUUCCCUCCAUCUUACAACUUCUUAGUGUAGGAAGAACACCAAUUUGAGACAGGAAUUCAGCCCAUUUGGGCUGGAAUAAUUCCUCCUGUGGACCCUCUUCCCUUGGCUUCUCUAUCACAAUUCUAGCCAUUCCCAUGAAACAUCCCUGCAGGAUGAGGAGUUCACCCAGGGAAGUACAUACCAGCAAAACAAACCCCCCAGAACUGCACCAGCAUAAUUAAAGAGCUGCUAAAGCUCCUUCAUGCCAACAGCUCCAAACGCUAACCUGAUUUUCACUCGCUGCCGUGCACACACAGUGGGAGAGGGGACACAAGCAAGGUGAAAUCCCUCAAAAGCUGAGUUCUUUUCCCUUGCAUUCCAGCACAGAUAAUGUUUAAUUUUAUGACUUCCUGCAAGUCUUUAGCAUGAACUGAAGGUUCGUGGAGUGUGACUUCAGGGUAUGCCAAUUAUGUAAAUCAGCACUAAAAUAACAAUGGCAACGUAGUUUACACAUCACUGACAUUAAAUGAGCACUUCAACUUCUAAUUGCCAUUCCAGUUCAAUCUUAGUAGGUGAUGCCAGGAAAAAGUCAUUUCUUGCCUCAACACUUACUCCCUGUGCCUGGAGCACAGGCUCUACUGUAUGCCCAGCACAGUGUUAUCUCCAGGAGCUCCCUAUAUUAGGAUAAUGAGCCUUAGAAGGGAGAAACAUGUUUGUGGUUGCUCUGAAGGCCUGCACACACUCUAAUCUCAACUUGCCCCUCUCUAAUUUUAAGUAUAAAUAAUCUCAGACACUUCUCUUGGCCAUAAAAUACCUUGCCCUUAUAUUUUGUCAUGUCUCAAUCUGUUUUGAUCUGGAGCUGCUGGGGCAGCAACUCUGCCUUCCCAUCCAUUUCCUUGAGGCCCCAAAAAACAACUGGCACCCACCCACACCAGAACCUCAGCCAUGGCCCCCCACCUUCCCCACAGAAAGAUUUCUCACUAAGGCAGGUCCAGCUUCAUUGAGGCAGUAUCCUGGAAUAUGGAGGAAAAGGUUAAAAAGUGUUAUCCCUGAAGGUUUUGUUAUGGUCUGCAUCUCCUCAGCACAAAAACUGACUAAAUUCUGCCUUAUGUUCAGGCCUGCUCCACCCCAGCACCAGCACACCUGAGCUCACCAGCUGAGAAGCAUCUUCAUGAUUACAGACAGAACUAGAGACAGGUGUAUUUAGGUAUAGUGAACUGGAGGCGAACAUGCCUGGAUGUGCCCACCGAGACUCCCAGCUCCACAAAUGAGCCCUUGUCCCCCUCUGACUCCUAGAGCUGUGCAGCAGCACACUUGAGAUAAAGAAACUAAAGCUCAACUCCUGCAUUUCCUGCAGCUAAAAUUCCUCACAAGUUCUGUGAAAAUGAGGACUUGAGUGGUACAUCAGCUAAAUAUCCAGCCCCAUCCAGGUGGGCUUCCACACUGUCAUUGCAUUUUACAGAGUUAUUUCAAGAGCAAUCCUCCUCUUCAGCCCAAGCCCUGUCAGAGAGAGAAACCACCACUUACACUGAAAAGAUCCGUGUUAGUAAAGCUGACUAUGCAUAUUUGUUAAUCUCCUUUGUGAAAUUUCACUUCUCCCCCACCAAACUGCACUAAUUAGUUUCUUUCUUCUUCACCACACACACUCCUUUUUUUUUUUUUGUCUUUUUUUUUUUUUUUUUUUUGGCAGGUGUUUAGCCAGUAAGUACUCAAUUAGUGGCACCUGCUGCUAAUGUUUCAGAGCCAGGUGUUCCUUGCUAGGACCCAAACACAGCUGAUAGAUAUCAACUUCAGGUGUUGUUGGGCUUUCUUAAGAAAACUAUCCAUAUAAGGACAUGUUUUACAACAAGGCUGAGAGUCCUUUUUUCAAGGUAGACAGGAGAGAAGAAAAUAUUUUCUUCCCUCAGAAUUUUUUUCUUACAAGUACUGUACAAAAUCACAUUUAUAUGUUGCCACAAUGUAGUGUCUUUUUUUCCAACUUGGUUACACUGCAACCAGCACUGCUGGUGGCUGUGGGCAGGAGACUUCAGCUGGAGGACCUAGAUGAGAAAGGCUCCAUGGGGUCUAUGACCACAGUUUGCAAUUCUUACCAAAAUGACUUAAAUUCUGGUCUAGUUAGAGACACAAGCCUGCAGAAACACUCGCAUCACUCGAUGCACAGUGAUACUCAACAUUUUACUACUGGCACCAGCAGCCCUAUGUCACCAACACAGAGCAUUUUUGAGAAUUCCCACUUUAGACCACUGUCCCCUGGAUAUGAUAAGUAUGUGAGAUAUGAAAUAUUAAUGUAGUGAGGGUUUUUUUUAUGGAUUUUGCACAUUUCAGUGAAUAAACCUCUUGAUAAAAUUUGUGCUGAAGUAUGAAAUAUAUACACGGUACAGCAUCAAAUGUGAGCAGGGCGACGGCUGAAAAUGAGUUAAGAUGUGUUAGUGAUGUUGAGGUUUUGCCUUCAUAAUGGGUAGAGAUUAUCUGAAAGCUUUUCUUUUCCUGAGCUGUGCUUCCUAUUGGCAUUUGUGUGAAUAUGAUGUGUAGCCAUUCUU